rnacentral:rRNA from 1 species
AAUGGGCGAAAGCCUGACGGAGCAAUACCGCGUGAGGGAGGAAGGCUCUUGGGUUGUAAACCUCUUUUCUCAGGGAAGAACACAAUGACGGUACCUGAGGAAUAAGCAUCGGCUAACUCCGUGCCAGCAGCCGCGGUAAUACGGAGGAUGCAAGCGUUAUCCGGAAUGAUUGGGCGUAAAGCGUCCGCAGGUGGCUUUGUAAGUCUGCUGUUAAAUAGUGAGGCUCAACCUCAUAAAGGCAGUGGAAACUACACGGCUAGAGUGCGUUCGGGGCAGAGGGAAUUCCUGGUGUAGCGGUGAAAUGCGUAGAGAUCAGGAAGAACACCGGUGGCGAAAGCGCUCUGCUAGGCCGCAACUGACACUGAGGGACGAAAGCUAGGGGAGCGAAUGGGAUUAGAUACCCC